AACUGUUGUCUUUGUCCAGGCAUUUCCUUCAUUAUAAUCAUCAUUUCCUGUCCUUUAAAUCUAACUAUGCUCACAGAUUGUUAAAACCAACAAAUCACUGACAUUGUUCUAUUGUUAAAAAUGUUGCUGCUGUUUUCUAGACUUCCUGGGGGUGUGGUCUAUAAAGCAGGCUGACCAAUAGGCUUUCACCUCACAAAGGUCACCGAGUUGAUGGACAACAGAGAAAAACAAGCUAAAAAACGAGAGCUAUGCAGAAAACACAAAGCACAGCUCAGCAAAAUGGAAAGUCCUUAAAAAUCAGAGGACAUGUGUGUUUACUCAUGUGUUACUUUAUAUGAACCUUGACACUUUGUGUUUGUGCAUUUACAGUACCUUUAUUUUCAAAAUUAUGGGAAAUAGUUCAAAAAAUGCCAAAUAGAUCGUUUUAAUAUUUCUACUGUUUCUCUUAGACAUCAGUGAGAUUACAUGGAGAGCAAACAGAGACGUCUGCAUUUUGUCUCCUGUUUUUUCCUGAGAUAAAUAUUGAUGCACUCCCUGAGGUUACUUCAGAUCUGAACUGUUGAGUCAGCUCUUGUCAACCAACUAACAGUCAAGACAGCUGGCGUUGGUCCAGAUCUUCUUUACAGAGCUCUUAGACACACGUGAUGCUUCCUGUCUGUCUCCUGAUGCUAAACAGGAAGAACCCACAAGAGAUGCUGGCUGGACUCCAAUCUAGAGACUUUGAAAGAUGUCAGUAUAGUCGUUUUUAACCCUUGUGUGACUACGAUUAGAUCACGGUUAGAGCAAUUUAGAAUAGAUCAUGAUUUUUAAAUAAUAUUUUACUAUUAAUAUUUUUUUCUUUACAAAACAUUAUCCCACUAUCUCUGGAUAUAUGUCACAACAUGUUUGUGUGCUUUACAUUACAAUGCACUUACGCACCGAUUGCCAACAUAACAGACAUUUGAUGCCGUUUUACUUAUUGCCUGCAACUCAUGACCCAAAUCCAGCUACUGUUAAACAAACACACACGCAAUAACUUCACUGCUUCCCUGUUUAAACAAACUAUGAACAAGGCUUUCUUCUUCUUACAUCCAAAAACACACUUCUUUUUCUUUCGUGCCACUGUUCAGUCUUGAAAUAAAACAAAGCUGUCGCGUGAAGUGAUGUCUGUGACUUCUACUCGAAGGAACAAUGCAAAUGAGCAACCUCAUUCACUCUAACUCUGAUUGACAUGUGGGCGUGGUUUUCCGGGGGAAGUGCCCAUAAAAGGAAUAUGGGGUCACUGAUAGAAACGGGUGGGUGAUUCUCAC